GGAGGUGCGAGCAUUGUUCGGAAUUACUGGGGCGUAAAGCGCGCGUAGGCGGGUCUUUAAGUCGAUUGUGAAAGCCCAGAGCUCAACUCUGGGAGUUGCAGUCGAUACUAUUGAUCUUGAAUGCUUGAGAGGGUAUCGGAAUUCCAGGUGUAGGAGUGAAAUCCGUAGAUAUCUGGAGGAACAUCCGAGGCGAAGGCUGAUACCUGGUGAUGCAUUGACGCUGAGGCGCGAAAGCGUGGGGAGCAAACAGGAUUAGAUACCCUGGUAGUCCACGCCGUAAACUAUGGAUACUAGGCGGUUGAAGUGUUAACCCUUUGACUGCCGUAGCUCACGCAUUAAGUAUCCCGCCUGGGGAGUACGGUCGCAAGGCUA
rnacentral:rRNA from 1 species